AACAUGGGGGUGGUACAAGUCAUUAAUCGAAUCUCCGGUUCAUCGGUACCGGUGGUGAGAUUACUGCGCCAUCUCGUGUUGCGUUGUUUGCAGUGGAACAUAUUCUUGUAUGCUGUACACAUCCCGGGGGUGGAUAACAAACUCGCUGACGCCUUGUCUCGAUUUCAGUGGGACAGGUUCAGGGAGCUGGCGCCAGGGGCGGAUGCAGAAGGGGUUCCUUGCCCUGGGUGGAUGUGGGGGCUGGCAUUGGAGCCGCUGCAGACUGGAUCAGGAGGUCGAAAAAAUUAGCAGCUUUAGCGUUUUGGUUCAAAUUGGAGGGUAGGACAGACCUCACGAAAACAUUUUGGG